ensembl:lncRNA
GGCACAUCUACACAUGGUCAGUAGCUACAUUCACCCUCCAGUGACCGAGUCAAGUAGAUGCAGCAGAGACUGUUGGCUCCCAACACCAAGAUAUUUCCUAUCUAGACAUUUACAGGGAAAGUCUGCUCACUGCGGCUCUGGGUGAUUUUUCUAAUGCUGUCCCUCCCUAGGGACACCCACACUCCUUUCUCUAGAAUGUUCUCAGUCCUCUCCUGACCUAAGGACACCACGACUUUUUACCUGCAACCCACACCCUUGUCCCCAUCCUCCCAAUCUUAACUCUGCUUUCAUGAGGAUUCUCUGCCUAAUCAAAAACGAAAGAAGUCAACAAGCGAGGAGCUUGAAUUUCUCCUGGAAUAUAUAUUUUACAUUUAAAUUCAAUUAGCCAACGUAUAGUACAUCGUCAGUUUCAGACGUAGUUUUCAAUAAUUUGUCAGUGGUGGGUAACACUCUGUGCUCAUCAUAUCCUGGACUUCUAAUUCCUCUGUCCACCAGUGCCAGUUGUGAUCCAAAAGACACGGGAGUCAUCAAAGCCAACCGUCUCCUGAACCCAGUCUCUACUCCAUGGAGGCAGCUGGUGGAAAGAAGUGAAACCUCCGAGGGCUAAGGUCACAUGCUCAGUGGUCUUGACGUCUCCCUCCCGGAAACUCGCCACAUCAUAAACCCUGCAGGAUGUUUCCCUUGGGGCCUUUUCUUCUCUUGCCACCUCGGUCUUCACCCUGGCCUCCUGGGUUCCUGGCUGCCACCACUGCAGAUCCGUGGUCGGCCUGCGAGGCACCAGGACCUGAAGCCCUCGCGAAAGCUGCUCGUUAAUUCACUUGAUGGGCCGACUCCAGAUGCAGCCAGACCCAUUAGGAGACAAUGGUUCAUUUGGUGCCUCAGCUCCUCUGUAAUGAAGCGAGAAUAUGUGGGGUCCCCUGGCUGCUGGGAUGAAGCACAGGGAGGGGAGGCACCCCCCGCCCCUGCAAGACUUGGCUCCCGCCUUGAAACAGAAUUGGAAUCAGAGGGUCCAGACACCUCCUUUCUCGGAGUCGCGCACGUCACACCCCCGGAGAGAGAGACGGGGCCGUUCCCCCUCCAUCCUGCAGCCGAGCCAGUCCUGCAUUCGAACUGUCUGGUGGCGUCCCUACCGUUCGGAGGGUGAGAUCGGGGCUCUCGGGCACGAGCUGGGAGAACCUUCUGUCUGGCUGCAGACUCCGUGCGGCCUCAUCUGUCCCCAGCGUCCACCGUUCCCGUCGGAUCAGACCCCCUCCUCCGCCAGCACGUGCCCUUUGCUUUCUUCACCACGUGCCUUUGCAAAUCUAAUUUCCUCAACCUAAAAUGCCCUGCUUUGCCGUCACCGUAUCAGUCCAUCAGAAUCCUACAUGAAAGACCCAGGAAAAUGUCAUGUCCGCGCCGUAAAAUAUUCUUAUUUCCUCUAACAGAAAGUAAUUUCCUGUUAUUAUUUGUCUUCUUAUUCUAUUCAACCUGGACUUGAGGUUGUAUAAUUGUGUUUCUUAAAAGUCUCUCAUUACAGGAUUGUGAACUCCCUGCAUGGGGUCACCACUUUCUUGUUCAUCUCUCUCCUCCGGAGUGUCUCAUAUGGAAUCUUGAGUAUCUGAGGGACCCUGGAAGUGUUUGCUGUGCCGCCCCAGGACUACUCCGAGCACUGAUUCUAAGAGGAUAUGGGUUUUCCUUAGGGUCACC